GCUUAACACAUGCAAGUCGAGGGGCAGCAUCCCCUUAGCUUGCUUUGAUGGAUGGCGACCGGCGCACGGGUGAGUAACACGUAUCCAACCUGCCGUCUACUCUUGGACAGCCUUCUGAAAGGAAGAUUAAUACAAGAUGGCAUCAUGAGUCCACAUGUUCACAUGAUUAAAGGUAUUCCGGUAGACGAUGGGGAUGCGUUCCAUUAGAUAGUAGGCGGGGUAACGGCCCACCUAGUCUUCGAUGGAUAGGGGUUCUGAGAGGAAGGUCCCCCACAUUGGAACUGAGACACGGUCCAAACUCCUACGGGAGGCAGCAGUGAGGAAUAUUGGUCAAUGGGCGAGAGCCUGAACCAGCCAAGUAGCGUGAAGGAUGACUGCCCUAUGGGUUGUAAACUUCUUUUAUAAAGGAAUAAAGUCGGGUAUGCAUACCCGUUUGCAUGUACUUUAUGAAUAAGGAUCGGCUAACUCCGUGCCAGCAGCCGCGGUAAUACGGAGGAUCCGAGCGUUAUCCGGAUUUAUUGGGUUUAAAGGGAGCGUAGAUGGAUGUUUAAGUCAGUUGUGAAAGUUUGCGGCUCAACCGUAAAAUUGCAGUUGAUACUGGAUAUCUUGAGUGCAGUUGAGGCAGGCGGAAUUCGUGGUGUAGCGGUGAAAUGCUUAGAUAUCACGAAGAACUCCGAUUGCGAAGGCAGCCUGCUAAGCUGCAACUGACAUUGAGGCUCGAAAGUGUGGGUAUCAAACAGGAUUAGAUACCCUGGUAGUCCACACGGUAAACGAUGAAUACUCGCUGUUUGCGAUAUACGGCAAGCGGCCAAGCGAAAGCGUUAAGUAUUCCACCUGGGGAGUACGCCGGCAACGGUGAAACUCAAAGGAAUUGACGGGGGCCCGCACAAGCGGAGGAACAUGUGGUUUAAUUCGAUGAUACGCGAGGAACCUUACCCGGGCUUAAAUUGCAGAUGAAUUACGGUGAAAGCCGUAAGCCGCAAGGCAUCUGUGAAGGUGCUGCAUGGUUGUCGUCAGCUCGUGCCGUGAGGUGUCGGCUUAAGUGCCAUAACGAGCGCAACCCUUGUUGUCAGUUACUAACAGGUUCCGCUGAGGACUCUGACAAGACUGCCAUCGUAAGAUGUGAGGAAGGUGGGGAUGACGUCAAAUCAGCACGGCCCUUACGUCCGGGGCUACACACGUGUUACAAUGGGGGGUACAGAGGGCCGCUACCACGCGAGUGGAUGCCAAUCCCCAAAACCUCUCUCAGUUCGGACUGGAGUCUGCAACCCGACUCCACGAAGCUGGAUUCGCUAGUAAUCGCGCAUCAGCCACGGCGCGGUGAAUACGUUCCCGGGCCUUGUACACACCGCCCGUCAAGCCAUGGGAGCCGGGGGUACCUGAAGUCCGUAACAAGCAAGGAUCGGCCUAGGGUAAAACUGGUGACU
rnacentral:rRNA from 1 species